CGGCGAGUGAAGCGGGAAGAGCUCAAAUUUGAAAUCGCGUCCGGGUAACCGGGUCGCGAGUUGUAAUUUGAUGAGGCAAGCUUGGUGGGCGCCUGGGUCAAAAUCCUUUGGAAAAGGGUAUCAUAGAGGGUGACAAUCCCGUCUGUGACUCAGUCAGCGGUCUAUCGUGUAAGCUGCCUUCAAAGAGUCGGGUUGUUUGGGAAUGCAGCCCUAAGCUGGUGGUAAAUUCCAUCUAAAGCUAAAUAUUCGUGAGAGACCGAUAGCGAACAAGUACCGUGAGGGAAAGUUGAAAAGCACUCUGGAGAGAGAGUCAAACAGCACGUGAAAUUGUUAACAGGGAAACGUUGGGCCCCAGUACGCGCCUCGCGUAAAAUCAACCAUCUCUUCCCCGAGGGUAUCCGUGCCGGGUGGAUGAGUCCUUAAGAAGGGCCAUUGCCCGGUCGGUGCCCGAGGGGGGUGGUGCACUUUUGCGUGGGCGGGUCAACGUCAGUUAGAGCCACCGGAAAAUCCUGGGAGGAAUGUUGGCGAAGGCAACGGACCCACUUAUAGCCUCCCUUGAAAGCGGUGACCCUGACUGAGGAGUCGCAGCCUUAUCAUAUGGCGCGCGCGUCUCCCUUCCCCCUGUGGGUAAGGCAGCUUGCUGACUUACUUCGGUAAGGGAGGGGACUGCGUGUGUGCCUGGUGAGGCCACGGACGUUGGCGAAAUGGAUCUCAACGACCCGUCUUGAAACACGGACCAAGGAGUCUAACAUGUGUGCGAGUAUUUGGGUGCAAAACCCGAAUGCGCAAUGAAAGUGACCGCAGGGGAGAAGGGUGGCCCUCUCGGGGGUUACCCCGCAUCCUCGACCGAUCUGAUUGCCCUUGUGGCGACGGGUUUGAGUUUGAGCAUAUCUGUUAGGACCCGAAAGAUGGUGAACUAUGCCUGAGUAGGAUGAAGCCAGAGGAAACUCUGGUGGAGGUCCGUAGCGAUUCUGACGUGCAAAUCGAUCGUCGAACUUGGGUAUAGGGGCGAAAGACUAAUCGAACCAUCUAGUAGCUGGUUCCCGCCGAAGUUUCCCUCAGGAUAGCAGAAACGCGUUAACAGUAUUAUGAGGUAAAGCGAAUGAUUAGAGGCCUUGGGGGCGGAAUGCCCUUAACCUAUUCUCAAACUUUAAAUAUGUAAGAAGUCCUUGCCACUUAACUGGGCAUGGACGUUGUUGUAUGAGCGUUUCUAGUGGGCCAUUUUUGGUAAGCAGAACUGGCGAUGUGGGAUGAACCAGACGGGAGGUUAAGGUGCCGGAAUGUACGCUCAUGUAGACACCACAAAAGGUGUUGGUUCAUCUAGACAGCAGGACGGUGGCCAUGGAAGUCGGAAUCCGCUAAGGAGUGUGUAACAACUCACCUGCCGAAUGAACUAGCCCUGAAAAUGGAUGGCGCUCAAGCGUACUACCCAAACCUCCCCGCCACGGGUUAAUGCGAUGCCCUCGGCGAGUAGGCGGGCGUGGGGGUUGUGAAGAAGC
rnacentral:rRNA from 1 species